AGCCAUGCGAGUCAUUGUAGCAAUACAAGGCGGACGGCUCAGUAACACGUAGUCAACCUAACUCGUGGACGUGGAUAACCUCGGGAAACUGAGAAUAAACCACGAUAGAUCAUAGUGCCUGGAAUGGCUUAUGGUCCAAACAGUUUACUGCCAUGGGAUGGGACUGCGGCCUAUCAGCUUGUUGGUGAGGUAAUGGCCCACCAAGGCGAUUACAGGUACGGGCUCUGAGAGGAGAAGCCCGGAGAUGGGUACUGAGACACGGACCCAGGCCCUAUGGGGCGCAGCAGGCGAGAAACCUUAGCAAUGUGCGAAAGCACGACUGGGUCAGUCCGAGUGAUUCCUGAUAAAGGAGUCUUUUGCCUGUCCUAAAAGCACAGGUGAAUAAGGGGUGGGCAAGUCUGGUGUCAGCCGCCGCGGUAAUACCAGCACCUCGAGUGGUCAGGACGUUUAUUGGGCCUAAAGCAUCCGUAGCCGGCUCUGCAAGUCUUCGGUUAAAUCCACCUGCUCAACAGAUGGGCUGCUGGAGAUACUACAGAGCUAGGGAGUGGGAGAGGCAGACGGUAUUCAGUGGGUAGGGGUAAAAUCCUCUGAUCCAUUGAGGACCACCAGUGGCGAAGGCGGUCUGCCAGAACACGUUCGACGGUGAGGGAUGAAAGCUGGGGGAGCAAACCGGAUUAGAUACCCGGGUAGUCCCAGCUGUAAACGAUGCAAACUCGGUGAUGCAUUGGCUUAUGGCCAAUGCAGUGCCGCAGGGAAGCCGUUAAGUUUGCCGCCUGGGAAGUACGGACGCAAGUCUGAAACUUAAAGGAAUUGGCGGGGGAGCACCACAAGGGGUGAAGCCUGCGGUUCAAUUGGAUUCAACGCCGGAAA
rnacentral:rRNA from 1 species